AUCAUACCAAACUCAAUUAUAAACUAACACCCCCCCCCCUUAAUUGAGUUUCGGUCUUAAACCAAUGAUCAUUUUUUGCUCUUCAUAACUUGGUGCUCUAAUUUUCAACUUCAUGCUUUUGCCUUUCUUCUUCGUCGUAUCGCUUCUUUUCUUCUACUCUUUCUUUGGUUUUAAUCUUCUUUGAUAUCAAUUUGUACCACACGAAUUUUGAACCAUCACCUCGGCCUUUUUCACCCUAGUUCUUUUGUCUUCUCUUGACCAUUAACUCGGUCUUCUCUAAACCUUGGUCUUCUUGGUUUUCCGAACCUUACCUUGGUCUUCGUUGCCUGUGUUUGUAUGGUUUUACAUAACCAUCAACUUGGCCUAAACCGUAGUCUCUUUGGUUUCUCAAUAUCAUCUAGCACAAAUUUGAUCUUGAAUUCUCCUUAGCCAAAUCCUUGAGCAUCGCUUUCAUAACCAACGUUUUUUUUUUUUUUUUUGUGCAGAUGGUUGCGAAUGGAAACUCUGUCCAUCCUACUCAGCCUCUACACUUUCUUUGAUGACUCUCGUUCACCAUACAGUGACUCUUAGGAUCCUUUUUCCCGCUAGUCUUCUACAUGUCUCCUUCGAGUUUCAUGUGACUCUAUCUUCACACCUCCUUAAAUUCUUUUCUCUGUUGUGCGUGAAUCUUUUUCACGUCCUCUCCGGUGUUGUCUCUACAACCGCUAAUGCUUCCUUUCACUUAUAGUAGGCUUUCACGUGAUUGUGUAUUUUCUCACAUACAUCACAUCAACGGUCGAUCUGAAUCCUUUGUUCCACCACCGUUCCCAGUUUGCUGGUGUGGAGAUGCUCGUCAUCUGUACGCCAGAAAAACCAAUUUUUUUUUUUUUUUGAAUGGAAUAUUUACGGAAUCCCCAUGAAUAGGUUAUCGUACUCAUCCCUAUCGAAUAUAGGAAUCAUUUGUUGCGAUGUUCCCUCCAUCGUCUUCUUCGGUUAUCUCUAUAACCGUUUCCCAUCUUGUGCUGUGCGUGAUCUUCAUCACGUCUUCUCCGGUUCCUGUGCUCCCUUUUUCUCUUAGGUAAGCAGCCUCCUUUCUCGAAUGGUGAUUGGUUUGUGAUUAGUCUGAACAAUGAAUGAAUGAGACAGACUUAUGGCCUGCAAUUAUUAUUUGAAUGCAUAAUUAACAACAAAUAUGAAUUAAAUAAUUUCAACACUCAUUGGGAGGAGAUGUCUCUCUAGUAUUCAUGAGCUCGGGUAUUCAUUUUCCUAAGUAUCAUAUUCACCAGACGAUGCAACGUUUUGCCAGCUCUAGGAUAAAGUCCAUGAAACUAGUGUUAGAUUUGAACGUGGUACAAAUAGCCAUAAGAAACCCAAAGAAGACGACACAGGUGACAGCCUGGCAGGCCCCAUAAUAACAAAGGAAAGUUUGAAGCAGUGAGAGCCAAUACCAUUUGUUCCCCUUCCUACAGAAGAUAUAUGAACCAAUGGGACUACCAACAGAUAAGUUGUUGAAGAUGCUUCCCAUGUGGCGAACCCGAAUAGUUCAGAGGUGAUCACCGCAUCAGUGAACCAUAACAAACGCCAACUAUAUCACAGAACCUACACCGAACUCUGUUGUUAAUGGGCCUUUCCUAAUAUUAUUUUAUUAUUAAUGGGCCGAAUAUUUUGGGCUAUGCCCAUGUCUUUUAAGAACGCGUAGUAUUGAUUCAAUAAGCCCAAUUAACUGAGAAAAAGUGGCGAGUCACGUGGAGUCACAGGAGAGCACACGACAGGCACACUGCGGCUCGUGGAGAAGACAAGAUGGAACGGGAUGUCCCACAACGGAAUAAACUAACGGAGUCAGCGUUGACUGGUCUCCGGGGUGGAGACAACUGUACGGCCGGCCAUAGUCAUGCCAUUUAUUCAUAACGUAUGUGAAAAUCGACCAAUCGUUUUAAUAUCACGAGGCUGACUCAACUUAAUCGCCCGCAAAUCAUGAUAAUUUUCAUAUUCGGACGUAAUCCCCUGUAACUGUUUGUACUGAUUAAAAAGAAAUCAUCAGGUGUCACUUAAUUAGAAUGACAAUUUAGAUUAUGUGGCAGCUUAAAAAUCAAUCGUAAAAAAUGUUGGUCCAAAUCCAAUUAGUAGAAAACAUUAUAUUAACCCAAAAUAUAAAAGCGUGUAUUCUUUCCUUAAAAAAAAUUACGAAAUUAUCUAAUAUGAUUGACAUAUACUCCCUUCGUUCCUUAAAGUUACAUAUUAUAGAUUUUUCACACGUUUUAAUAAAACACAUUAAAUUUACAUAUUUUUUGUGUUUAUUUUUUUCCAUAAUUUUAAGCCAAUAAAAAUUCAACUAGAGCAAUUAAGUUUUUUGAAGUUUGCAAUAA